ACAUUUAAAGUGUGGCUGCAAAUCUGGGAUGCAGGAGGUGAAAAUUCAUUGUCUAAUUUGUUUCUCAGUUUCCUCUUUCAGAAACAAGAGAUUUUUCAAGACCUUGCUCCACUGCUGUGGCACUCCUUUGGCACUGUUGCUGCACUGCUCCAGGAGAUUGUGUCAAUUUACCCUUCACUUUCACCUCCUACUUUGUCGCCAGUUGCAUCAAACCGUGUCUGCAAUGCACUUGCACUUCUUCAGUGUGUUGCUUCACACCCUGAGACCAGGAUCCCGUUCUUGAAUGCUCACAUCCCACUAUACCUGUACCCGUUCCUGAAUACUACCAGCAAGACAAGACCUUUUGAGUACUUGAGGCUUACCAGCUUGGGUGUUAUUGGUGCUCUUGUGAAGGAAUCUCAACAGGAACUGUUAUUUUUGAAGCAAACAGGCUAA
rnacentral:rRNA from 1 species